GCCAGACUCCUACGGGAGGCAGCAGUGGGGAAUAUUGGGCAAUGGGCGCAAGCCUGACCCAGCAACGCCGCGUGAAGGAAGAAGGCUUUCGGGUUGUAAACUUCUUUUGUCAGGGACGAAGCAAGUGACGGUACCUGACGAAUAAGCCACGGCUAACUACGUGCCAGCAGCCGCGGUAAUACGUAGGUGGCAAGCGUUAUCCGGAUUUACUGGGUGUAAAGGGCGUGUAGGCGGGACUGCAAGUCAGAUGUGAAAACUACGGGCUCAACCUGUGGCCUGCAUUUGAAACUGUAGUUCUUGAGUACUGGAGAGGCAGACGGAAUUCCUAGUGUAGCGGUGAAAUGCGUAGAUAUUAGGAGGAACACCAGUGGCGAAGGCGGCCUGCUGGGCUUUAACUGACGCUGAGGCUCGAAAGCGUGGGGAGCAAACAGGAUUAGAUACCCGCGUA
rnacentral:rRNA from 1 species